GAUGUGUAGGAUAGGUGGGAGGCUUUGAAGUGUGGACGCCAGUCUGCAUGGAGCCGACCUUGAAAUACCACCCUUUAAUGUUUGAUGUUCUAACGUGGACCCGUAAUCCGGGUUGCGGACAGUGUCUGGUGGGUAGUUUGACUGGGGCGGUCUCCUCCUAAAGAGUAACGGAGGAGCACGAAGGUUGGCUAAUCCUGGUCGGACAUCAGGAGGUUAGUGCAAUGGCAUAAGCCAGCUUGACUGCGAGCGUGACGGCGCGAGCAGGUGCGAAAGCAGGUCAUAGUGAUCCGGUGGUUCUGAAUGGAAGGGCCAUCGCUCAACGGAUAAAAGGUACUCCGGGGAUAACAGGCUGAUACCGCCCAAGAGUUCAUAUCGACGGCGGUGUUUGGCACCUCGAUGUCGGCUCAUCACAUCCUGGGGCUGAAGUAGGUCCCAAGGGUAUGGCUGUUCGCCAUUUAAAGUGGUACGCGAGCUGGGUUUAGAACGUCGUGAGACAGUUCGGUCCCUAUCUGCCGUGGGCGCUGGAGAACUGAGGGGGGCUGCUCCUAGUACGAGAGGACCGGAGUGGACGCAUCACUGGUGUUCGGGUUGUCAUGCCAAUGGCACUGCCCGGUAGCUAAAUGCGGAAGAGAUAAGUGCUGAAAGCAUCUAAGCACGAAACUUGCCCCGAGAUGAGUUCUCCCUGAGACUUUAGGUCUCCUGAAGGAACGUUGAAGACGACGACGUUGAUAGGCCGGGUGUGUAAGCGCAGCGAUGCGUUGAGCUAACCGGUACUAAUGAACCGUGAGGCUUAACCUUACA
rnacentral:rRNA from 1 species